rnacentral:rRNA from 1 species
UACGGGGGGAGCAAGCGUUGUCCGGAAUUAUUGGGCGUAAAGAGCUCGUAGGCGGUCUGUCGCGUCGGAUGUGAAAACCCAGGGCUCAACCCUGGGCCUGCAUUCGAUACGGGCAGACUAGAGUUCGGUAGGGGAGACUGGAAUUCCUGGUGUAGCGGUGAAAUGCGCAGAUAUCAGGAGGAACACCAAUAGCGAAGGCAGCUCGCUGGGACGGUACUGACGCUAAGGCGCGAAAGCGUGGGGAGCGAACAGG